rnacentral:lncRNA from 1 species
CUGGCCCCUGGAGGAGGCACCCCUUGAUCAUUAUUCAUUAUUCAUAGACAGAGCAAAAGCUAGGGUUUAGAGAUGAGAGCUCUCCUCUCUUCUCUAAACUAGAGUAGAUCUAGAUAAUAGCAAGAUGGAGAGCGAAGGAGGAUUAGAGGAGAGGCCGGCCUGUCGGUUCUUCCUCCGGUUGUACUUCGUCAUGAUCAAGCUCUAAUCAAGCUUGCUCAUGGGAUGACUCUGGUAAUCUACUUCUAAUUCAUUAUGCAAUUACUAAUUAUGUAUGUUCUGGUUCACAACUCUUUUGAGUACUUUAAUCUAUAGGACGCUAUAGGUGAGAGUUGUAGUAUAGGUAUAAGCGUGGUGCUUAGACCUAGAUUACUUGUGGAUAUCCCCUGUCUAGCUGGAUCGUGUGGUAGGCCGCGUAGGUGACAGUUACGUUGGUCCUCUGUAGUCCACCUCUCGUUAGCAGGAUGGGUAGAGUUUAUCGGCCUAAGGAUAAGCAUCCUUUGUGGUGUACUCUUAUCACGUGGUUCGUCCCAGACAUAGACAUACCCCUUUGAAGUAGAGAAACCAUAGUUAUACUCCCUAUUCUGCUACCAUCGCCUAUAUAUUAGAUUGCUCUAUUCUCUAUUCCCAUAUUAUCACUCACUGUUAUCUUACCUUUAAUAUUGUUCUUAUUUAAUUCUAUCAUCUUUCCUAUUUACACUUAUCUAUCUAUCCUAGUUAAGUUAGAGCGUAGUUGGUUCUCCCGUUUCCCUGUGGAUACGAUAAAACCUUUAACCGGGUAAAAGCUUUAAUGGUAUCCGUGCGCUUGCGGAUUAUCUGUGUGCGUAUAAAUACCAUAGUACACUCUAGUGCCAUGCUGGGGAUGACAACCUAGUAUUCAAGUGGUGUUAGCAAGUGUCAACAAGCAUUUUUGGCGCCGUUGCCGGGGAACGGUUGCUGAGUUGACUACGAACUAGCUUAAUCAUUUUCUAAAAAAUAAAAAUAAAAAAAAUAUAUUUUCCUUUUAUCCUUUGCCUCAUCUCUGCUAAUCUUUCUUCUUAUCUAAUCCUUGAUCUCUGGUCUAUCAUGAAUUCAAACAUGUCUAUCUAUGAAUUUCAUAGACCUACGGGCACACAUCUCGAACCACCAAAAUCUUCAAAGCCUAUCAUAGCAUCUAGUUUUGAGAUAGACCCCGAAUACAUAGAAUUUGUUCAAAAACAACCUUUCUCAGGAGAAGGUGAGGAAAACCCAUACACACACCUAAGAGAGUUUUAUCGAGUAUGUGACCUCCUUCGCAUAGAAGGCAUGUCCGAUGAGACCCUCAAAUGGAAGCUCUUUCCAUUCUCUUUAAUAGGAAAAGCUAGACAUUGGUACAAACUCAAAGUAGGGAGUGUUCAUGGAGAAUGGAAGGAGUUACAUAAUAGUUUUCUUUUAAAAUAUUUUCCAAUCCCUAAAGUGGCGGAACUUCGGCGUGAGAUUCUUUCUUUUAGACAACUGGAAGAAGAAUCUCUUAGCAAAUCAUGGGACCGCUUUAUUAACCUUACUCUCACUGGCCCAAAGCUUUCUAUUCGAGAAGAAGUUCUUCUAAUUCACUUUUUUGAGGGCCUUAGUGGGAAAAAUAAGCAAACCUUGAAUACAGCCUCUAGAGGAUCCUUCUAUCACCUACCUGCUAGUGAAGCUUGGAAUUUGAUUGAUUUAUUAAGUGGAAAGUCUCCUAGCUUUUAUAUCCCUGAGAAAGAGACAGAACCAGUUCCUAGACAAGAAGAAGAAGUUUUGAUAGCCAGAUCACAACCACUUCAAUUCCAAACUUUAGCUAUCGAUCCUAAACCAUCAAUACCCCAAAAUUCUCCAAGGGAGGAAGGAAUUCCGACCUUAAAUCUUUCAGAUGCUGAUGGUUUAGACUUCUGGUUCCAUAAGAGACCUUCAAGCAGGGAUAAUUCAAAUCCUCGCAAUAAUGGUUCUCUUAGAGAAUGUCCUGGUUCCUGUUAUGAAGAAGUCGAGGAUGACACAUCAAGUAAAGGAGAGCUAAGCCAUAUUGAAAAUUCUAACACCUCCCCUUUCCUGAUCACAAGUUCAAAAUGGCUAGAAUGUGUAGAAUGGAUGGACAAGGAAGAAGCCUUAAUGAAUUCUGACUUUGGUUCAAUUUCAAAUGGUGAGUUCUUGACUCCCUUUGAAGAUGGGAUUCAUCCAACUAUAGAAGAGGACAUAAGUGAGAACAAUCCAAGAGGAACUCUGAACAUUCAGAUUGGAGACGAAGAUAACAUUAAUGAGCAUGAAAUUUAUUUCAUAGCCACUUUGUUUACUCCACGCUCAUAUGCAACAUCUUCCCAAUCUAUUGGUCUCUCCAACAUCACCACAUUUGAGAUUUCCAACCCCCUCUUCCUUUCUAGUUAUAAAAACUUUAAAAGGGCGGUUGUCGAUGCAUAUGUCUAUAAUAAAUAUUGCAGAUCUCGUUGAGUUGAUCUUGAUAUAGGUCAGCAUUGGAAGGGAAACCACUUCGUCGAUAUAAAUUGAUGGUUUCCCAAGGACAAGCUUAGUGUCUUAAAAUAAGCACUGAUCAGAUCAUAACAUGAGCUUUUAAUUAUUUACAACAUUACCUGGUGUAUUGAGCAUAUAAGGAUAAUUGUAAAAAUAUUCCUUCGGGUAUUCUUGUCACUAACCUUUCCAGGAUUGGAACAAGAAGAUCAGAUGAAUGACAUGCAAGUACAAGGUAUGUCCAACCAAUCAUCAUGGAACACUGAAUUAAAUUCAUCCAAACUUGAAUUCUGCAAAAUUCAAGCUUGGGGGAGUACUUUACAUAAAAACAUCCUUUGCCAUGUUGCUAUGUUGGUUGUCCCUACCUUUAAGACAUGCUCAAUUUGUUAAAUACUAAUCACACUACUUCAUCUCCACUUGAGUAGAUCUCUAUAAAUGCUGUCAUGUUACCUUUGUCUAUUUACUAGUAAGUGUUAGUUUGGAAGUACUGCACAUACUUCUAUUGGCUUUUAAAUUAAGCAUGGUGCUUAGGUUAAACAGCCUUCCUUAAUCUGAUUAGACAUGGAGUCUAGUUCGGUUAUUGAACUAAAAACUUCUUGUGUAGACAUUGGUAUAUUUUUGUCGGACUAACCCCUGUAGAAAAACUUUCAAUAUCUAUUUGAGAAGUCCUGAGAUAAACUCACAUCAAAAACGAAGAGAGUGACACAUGAAGUUUAACAAUUUGCACAAGAAGGACAUAGCUCAUUCAUCAUAGAGAGAUGAUCCAUGGAGGGUGCCACAAACACGAUGCACAACCGCUAAGAAAGGAAAGCUUCCACAAGGUGAUACUGUACCAUCACUCUUCAAGCAAGAAAACAUCUUAAGGUACUUGACUAUCACUUUUAUAAGCUUCUCCUUGGUUCUGGCGUUCAUAUAAAUAAAAGAGACAAACAGGAAUGAUUUACAACUCUAGAUUAACCAACCCAACUGAUUCAACAUGUUUAGUCCUUUAAUCCUUGUUCUUAGUACUACCUCCAUGAUCCCACACUCCUAAUCAUAUGAGCUAAAAUGUUACACAUUCAAUCAUUGUGAGAUAUAAAGAAAAAGACAUAUACAUAGAUAGAUUAUCUUUCCAUAAGGUUGAGCGAUCUGAUCUGACAAAUGUUAUAAGUGCUACACUCAUGAACUUUUCAUCCAUCAACUUUGUCUUGCUCACUAUGCUUAGGGUUAGAGAAGAACAAAUACACUUUAGGUUCUGUUGGUGUUUUCCACCAACAGGACCCAUGCACUUGAUCUCUGCCUUGUCUCUAUGAGCAGGUACACUUUGAGCAAAACACAGAGGAGUUUUAUAACUCUCAGACUCUACCAAGUGAAGGACCUAGAUCUACGAGCACAAACACACUGAGCAAGUUACUGCCAACGCCGCACUUCGAACUGCUGGGCAAACGAAGAACAUAGGUGACACCGUAUCAAGAGGUGCAGACGUCAAGGUCCGCACAUGAAUCAAAUGACGCACUUGAAGAAUGAACACGGUGAGAAGUCUUGUUAAGAAGACUUAAAACAUUGAACCCUCGCCUAAAGGUAAGAUCAGUAGUCAUCCAUAUUUAUCCUUUCUGCAUUCCCUUUUCCCUUUAAUUAUUUACUUUCCUUAAAUAGAUUAUUAGUUAAUCAUGCUAUCUUGAAAAGAAAAUAAAAAUGUUAAAAAAUACUAAGCCCCAUGUGAGUAUACGAGUGGCAUAAAACCCAUAAGUACCUUCACUGUGGUGGCAUAAAAAUAAAAUAAAUAUUUCUUUUCUGCUUUAUAAAAUAAAAAUAUAAAAACAGGGAGUAAUAUUUAUUGAGGAAGCUCAACAUGAUGAAGGCUAGAUAUUUAUGCUAACACUUAAUUAGUUCCACAAGCUUUGUUGUCUAUUUGAGCUCCACAGAAUUUAAGAAUCAAGAAGACAAGCAGACGGAGGACAUUCUAAUCGCUGUCAGAAUGCUGCUGACUUUCAAAUACACCUCUGCCACCUGCUAGCUACAUCAAGAGAAAUUACGUCAAAAUUCAGCUUCGGGGAGAGCACCCCCAUUUAUCUCGCUAAGUAUUUCUAUUUAUCUUUAUACUUAUACUAUAUUAGAAUAUUAAAAUACAUAAACUAUGAAAAACCAAAUAAAGAUUUUGUGCUUAUAUAUAUAUCUUUUGCUUAGUGUGUUUAAUAAAUAAAUAAAGUGGCUAUGCUAAUUUGAAUCUUAAUAAUAAAACUCUAGCAUGGAUAUGAUGAAUAGUUGCUCUACCUAAUUUGCAAAUUUGAAGUUCUCUCUCAAGUUUAGACAUAACUGUUAUAAUUUAAAGCUUGCUCUAGAUCUAAACUUGUGGGAUGAAACCUUGAUCUGAAAUCUAAGUUGUUAACGGAUAUGAUAUGGGAAGGUUGAGCUGUUGUUUAUCUGUUCCUAGAGAUGCUAGAAUUUUGGAGAAUUUUAUCUUUGAAAAAAAUAUUUAAAAUAUUGCAUGAUGAGUUCCUGUAUGAUGAGAGUUUAAAUUCCUACCAUAGCCAUAUAUACAUGCUUGCUAGACUUUGAGCCACACAUUUAUUAUUUACUGCUUAUGAGCAUUGAGUGUGGUCAAGCUGUGUAGACCCUUAGGAGCUUGUCAUGUGGUUAAAAUCAAGAUUCACUUGCACGUUCAUUCAUACAUGCUGCUUCUACUCCGGAAGUACCAUCCACAUAUAUCCACUUAUUUCCAUCUCCAGAACCACCCAAAAAUAUUCUACUCCUAAUCCGGGAGAGAAUAGCCAGAAAUAUUUUUGUUUUCCCUUGUGAAAUAAAUGCUCAAGUUAUCUUGCUACUACCACUUUCUAUAUUAUCUCAAGAGAUGAGUGCUCUAAAAAAAGAGAGAGAAAAGAAGAAAAAAAAUAAUAAACGAGGAAAUAAAAAGGGGCAAGUGCCCGGAACCUCGAAAGAAAAAAAAAGAGUGAGACGAGAGGUAAAAAUGGACAAGUGUCUGACAGUAGAAUUAGGGGUACAAGAUACCCACCUGAGAGGAAAGAAAAAUGAAAUAUAGAGCAUCUCAUUCUCCUCGUAAAGUUUCAAAAAGCAAGGAAGGUAUGUAUCCCCUCAAAAGAGCAAAAGUAGAAUUAGACUUCCACCAUUGUUAUCACCAUCAUCACCAUACACCAUUCAUUCGCCACACAUGCACAUCUUGAUUUGACUUAUUGACUUGUUUCUCUGGAUCCAUGGUUUGACUAUGCAAUAAAUGUCUUGUAAGUAUGUAUUAGCUGUCUCCCAUCUAUGAGCUCUAGAUAUUAAAGCCUUAUUAGAGUAGGGUGAGAGAGAAGGCAAUGUCACUGUGCCUUAUACCACAAAUACCACAUAUCUUGAGAGAAGGCAUAUACCAUCACUGCCUUGGUAAGGAUCCAGAAAUACCACAAAAGAGAGAUUUAGAGAGUCAUACAAGGAAUUUCUGAGUUUUAUUUGAAAAUCUACAAAAACUCCAGAGCUAUAGCUGAUCAAGAAUAAGAGACAUGGCACUUGGCUAGACUGUUCUAUCUUUUAACUACUCAAGACAGAAGUGACGGUUACAAGUCCCAUGGUGAAAGGUAAAGUAAGUAAGUUUUAGUUCUUGAUAGUUUACUCUAACUCAGAGAUGAGAUCUUAUUUAAAAGCAUGUGUACCGUCAAAAUUUUAAGAUAUUGCAACAACUUCUGAUCCAUUGUUGAGUCUAUCCUUGCUCAGGGACGAGCAAGAGGUAAGCUUGGGGGAGUUUGUUGACGGUCCUUAAGUAUCAAAUUUAAUUAUCAAAUAAACAAAGAAAAGGAUCCGUUUUAUCUGACAGAAUUCCACGAGUUUUGGUGUUUGUCUAUUUCUGCAGGGGGUUAUCAGGAAAUAUGGAAGAAAGGCCCACACGUCGGGAUUACAUAGAGAUAUCAACGUGCCGCGCAAUUAUUUUACAUCUAGAAGACUCCAGAAGCCACGGGAAGGAAGCGGAGGCCGAACGGAGCCAGGACCUGGGCGCCUGCCAAAGUCCUUAGGGCGCCCGCCCUGCUACAGUGGCCAAUCACGUUCAACCUCGUGGAUUAUGCUCCACCGACCUAAAGGAUCAAGACUAACCGUUCAAUCAAUGUGAGUUUGAUCCAACGGCCCAGGUUCACUUGAGGGGACUAUAUAACCAGACCCCCUGGCCCCUGAAGGAGGCACCCCUUGAUCAUUACUCAUUAUUCAUAGACAGAGCAAAAGCUAGGGUUUAGAGAUGAGAGCUCUCCUCUCUUCUCUAAACUAGAGUAGAUCUAGAUAGUAGCAAGAUGGAGAGCGAAGGAGGAUUAGAGGAGAGGCCGGCCUGUCGGUUCUUCCUCCGGUUGUACUUUGUCAUGAUCAAGCUCUAAUCAAGCUUGCUCAUGGGAUGACUCUGGUAAUCUACUUCUAAUUCAUUAUGCAAUUACUAAUUAUGUAUGUUCUGGUUCACAACUCUUUUGAGUACUUUAAUCUAUAGGACGCUAUAGGUGAGAGUUGUAGUAUAGGUAUAAGCGUGGUGCUUAGACCUAGAUUACUUGUGGAUAUACCCUGUCUAGCUGGAUCGUGUGGGAGGCCGCGUAGGUGACAGUUACUAGUCCACCUCUCGUUAGCAGGAUGGGUAGAGUUUAUCGGCCUAAGGAUAAGCAUCCUUUGUGGUGUACUCUUAUCACGUGGUUCGUCCCAGACAUAGACAUACCCCUUUGAAGUAGAGAAACCAUAGUUAUACUCUCUAUUCUGCUACCAUCGCCUAUAUAUUAGAUUGCUCUAUUCUCUAUUCCCAUAUUAUCACUCACUGUUAUCUUACCUUUAAUAUUGUUCUUAUUUAAUUCUAUCAUCUUUCCUAUUUACACUUAUCUAUCUAUCCUGGUUAAGUUAGAGCGUAGUUGGUUCUCCCGUUUCCCUGUGGAUACGAUAAAACCUUUAACCGGGUAAAAGCUUCAACGGUAUCCGUGCUCUUGCAGAUUAUCUGUGUGCGUAUAAAUACCAUAGUACACUCUAGUGCCAUGCUGGGGAUGACAACCUAGUAUUCAAGUGGUGUUAGCAAGUGUCAACAAGCAUUUUUGGCGCCGUUGCCGGGGAAACGGUUGCUGAGUUGACUACGAACUAGCUUAAUCAUUUUCUAAAAAAUAAAAAUAAAAAAAAUAUAUUUUCCUUUUAUCCUUUGCCUCAUCUCUGCUAAUCUUUCUUCUUAUCUAAUCCUUGAUCUCUGGUCUAUCAUGAAUUCAAACAUGUCUAUCUAUGAAUUUCAUAGACCUACGGGCACACAUCUCGAACCACCAAAAUCUUCAAAGCCUAUCAUAGCAUCUAGUUUUGAGAUAGACCCCGAAUACAUAGAAUUUGUUCAAAAACAACCUUUCUCAGGAGAAGGUGAGGAAAACCCAUACACACACCUAAGAGAGUUUUAUCGAGUAUGUGACCUCCUUCGCAUAGAAGGCAUGUCCGAUGAGACCCUCAAAUGGAAGCUCUUUCCGUUCUCUUUAAUAGAAAAAGCUAGACAUUGGUACAAACUCAAAGUAGGGAGUGUUCAUGGAGAUUGGAAGGAGUUACAUAAUAGUUUUCUUUUAAAAUAUUUUCCAAUCCCUAAAGUGGCGGAACUUCGGCGUGAGAUUCUUUCUUUUAGACAACUGGAAGAAGAAUCUCUUGGCAAAUCAUGGGACCGCUUUAUUAACCUUACUCUCACUGGCCCAAAGCUUUUUAUUCCAGAAGAAGUUCUUCUAAUUCACUUUUUUGAGGGCCUUAGUGGGGAAAAUAAGCAAACCUUGAAUACAGCCUCUAGAGGAUCCUUCUAUCACCUACGUGCUAGUGAAGCUUGGAAUUUGAUUGAUUUAUUAAGUGGAAAGUCUCCUAGCUUUUAUAUCCCUGAGAAAGAGACAGAACCAGUUCCUAGACAAGAAGAAGAAGUUUUGAUAGCCAGAUCACAACCACUUCAAUUCCAAACUUUAGCUAUCAAUCCUAAACCAUCAAUACCCCAAAAUUCUCCAAGGGAGGAAGGAAUUCCGACCUUAAAUCUUUCAGAUGCUGAUGGUUUAGACUUUUGGUUCCAUAAGAGACCUUCAAGCAGGGAUAAUUCAAAUCCUCGCAAUAAUGGUUCUCUUAGAGAAUGUCCUAGUUCCUGUUAUGAAGAAGUCGAGGAUGACACAUCAAGUAAAGGAGAGCUAAGCCAUAUUGAAAAUUCUAACACCUCCCCUUUCCUGAUCACAAGUUCAAAAUGGCUAGAAUGUGUAGAAUGGAUGGACAAGGAAGAAGCCUUAAUGAAUUCUGACUUUGGUUCAAUUUCAAAUGGUGAGUUCUUGACUCCCUUUGAAGAUGGGAUUCAUCCAACUAUAGAAGAGGACAUAAGUGAGACCAAUCCAAGAGGAACUCUGAACAUUCAGAUUGGAGACGAAGAUAACAUUAAUGAGCAUGGAAUUUAUUUCAUAGCCACUUUGUUUACUCCAUACUCAUAUGCGACAUCUUCCCAAUCUAUUGGUCUCUCCAACAUCACCACAUUUGAGAUUUCCAACCCCCUCUUCCUUUCUAGUUAUAAAAACUUUAAAAGGGCGGUUGUCGAUGCAUAUGUCUAUAAUAAAUAUUGCAGAUCUCAUUGAGUUGAUCUUGAUAUAGGUCAGCGUUGGAAGGGAAACCACUUCGUCGACAUAAAUUGAUGGUUUCCCAAGGACAAGCUUAGUGUCUUAAAAUAAGCACUGAUCAGAUCAUAACAUGAGCUUUUAAUUAUUUACAACAUUACCUGGUGUAUUGAGCAUAUAAGGAUAAUUGUAAAAAUAUUCCUUCGGGUAUUCUUGUCACUAACCUUUCUAGGAUUGGAACAAGAAGAUCAGAUGAAUGACAAGCAAGUACAAGGUAUGUCCAACCAAUCAUCAUGGAACACUGAAUUAAAUUCAUCCAAACUUGAAUUCUGCAAAAUUCAAGCUUGGGGGAGUACUUUACAUAAAAACAUCCUUUGCCAUGUUGCUAUGUUGGUUGUCCCUACCUUUAAGACAUGCUCAAUUUGUUAAAUACUAAUCACACUACUUCAUCUCCACUUGAGUAGAUUUCUAUAAAUGUUGUCAUGUUACCUUUGUCUAUUUACUAGUAAGUGUUAGUUUGGAAGUACUGCACAUACUUCUAUUGGCUUUUAAAUUAAGCUUGGUGCUUAGGUUAAACAGCCUUCCUUAAUCUGAUUAGACAUGGAGUCUAGUUCGGUUAUUGAACUAAAAACUUCUUGUGUAGACAUUGGUAUAUUUUUGUCGGACUAACCCCUGCAGAAAAACUUUCAAUAUCAAUUUGGGAAGCCCUGAGAUAAACUCACAUCAGAAACGAAGAGAGUGACACAUGAAGUUUAACAAUUUGCACAAGAAGGACAUAGCUCAUUCAUCAUAGAGAGAUGAUCCAUGGAGGGUGCCACAAACACGAUGCACAACCGCUAAGAAAGGAAAGCUUCCACAAGGUGAUACUGUACCAUCACUCUUCAAGCAAGAAAACAUCUUAAGGUACUUGACUAUCACUUUUAUAAGCUUCUCCUUGGUUCUGGCGUUCAUAUAAAUAAAAGAGACAAACAUGUAUGAUUUACAACUCUAGAUUAACCAACCCAACUGAUUCAACAUGUUUAGUCCUUUAAUCCUUGUUCUUAGUACUACCUCCAUGAUCCCACACUCCUAAUCAAAUGAGCUAAAAUGUUACACAUUCAAUCAUUGUGAGAUAUAAAGAAAAAGACAUAUACAUAGAUAGAUUAUCUUUCCAUAAGGUUGAGCGAUCUGAUUUGACAAAUGUUAUAAGUGCUACACUCAUGAACUUUUCAUCCAUCAACUUUGUCUUGCUCACUAUGCUUAGGGUUAGAGAAGAACAAAUACACUUUAGGUUCUGUUGGUGUUUUCCACCAACAGGACCCAUGCACUUGAUCUCUGCCUUGUCUCUAUGAGCAGGAACACUUUGAGCAAAACACGGAGGAGUUUUAUAACUCUCAGACUCUACCAAGUGAAGGACUUGGAUCUACGAGCACAAACACACUGAGCAGGUUACUGCCAACGCCGCACUUCGAACUGCUGGGCAAACGAAGAACAUAGGUGACACCGUAUCAAGAGGUGUAGACGUCAAGGUCCGCACCUGAAUCAAAUGACGCACUUAAAGAAUGAACAUGGUGAGAAGUCUUGUUAAGAAGACUUAAAACAUUGAACCCUCGCUAGAUUACUUGUUAAGAAGUCUUGUUAUACGUGGUGCUUAGACCUAGAUUACUUGUGGAUAUCCCCUGUCUAGCUGGAUCGUGUGGUAGGCCGUGUAGGUGACAGUUACGUUGGUCCUUUGUAGUCCACCUCUCGUUAGCAGGAUGGGUAGAGUUUAUCGGCCUAAGGAUAAGCAUCCUUUGUGGUGUACUCUUAUCACGUGGUUCGUCCUAGACAUAGACAUACCCCUUUGAAGUAGAGAAACCAUAGUUAUACUCUCUAUUCUGCUACCAUCGCCUAUAUAUUAGAUUGCUCUAUUCUCUAUUCCCAUAUUAUCACUCACUGUUAUCUUACCUUUAAUAUUGUUCUUAUUUAAUUCUAUCAUCUUUCCUAUUUACACUUAUCUAUCUAUCCUGGUUA